CCCUUAGAUGUUCUGAACCGCACGCGUGUUACACUGAUGCAUUCAACGAGCUUUACCUUGGCCGAGAGGCCUGGGACAUCUUUUUAGCAUGCAUCGUGAUAGGGAUUGAUUAUUGCAAUUAUUAAUCAUGAACGAGGAAUUCCUAGUAAACGCAUUUCAUCAAAAUGCAUUGAUUACGUCCCUGCCCUUUGUACACACCGCCCGUCGCACCUACCGAUUGAGUGGUCCGGUGAAGUCUCGAGAUUGUGGCAAUCUCCUUUAUUGGAGUUUGACUGCGAGAACUUGCCUAAACCUUAUCACUUAGAGGAAGGUGAAGUCGUAACA
rnacentral:rRNA from 1 species